rnacentral:misc_RNA from 1 species
GUAGGUGAACCUGCGGAAGGAUCAUUAUCCUUAGCGUAGCGCUCCUAUGAGCACUACAAGCGCGACACGUAUGUGUUUGCGUCACAAUCCGCGCUAGGUCUUCGGGCCUAGCACACCAAAUCCAUGUUAGCUUUAACAUGGUCGGGUACCUAUGCUUGUGCAUUUCGGUGCGCAGCAAAAGCGGCUCCGCUCAUAGAGCCGUGUGGUUUAAAGAUUAUUCUACUCUAUUAGAAUAACGCCCGUAGAAGCAAACGAUCUAUCAUACUACAUGUUAAAUCGCAUUUACUUAGAGUUGUGUCUAGCUACGUUUUGCUCUUUUGCUCAACGUUUAACACUUACACAACCCUAUGCGGUGGAUCACUUGGCUC